GGUAAGUUUACAAAUAAUUGAUCACGACCAGUUACAGAUUUCUUUAUUCCUUCUCCACUCCCACUGCUUUAAUUGACUAGCCUAAA
rnacentral:Y_RNA from 1 species